rnacentral:tRNA from 1 species
UCCUCAGAGGACUAGUGGUUAGGCCUGGACGCUGUCACCGCCUCGGCAUGGGUUCAAUUCCCAGCCAGGGAA